rfam:Oryza barthii chromosome 1, whole genome shotgun sequence.
AACUACACUAUCGAUGUAUAGAUUCACCCGCGAGAUGAUGUGGCUGUUUCACCUAGGACGAGGACAUGGCAUCCUAUUACCAGCCAUCGCACGAAAUUAAUAUGAUGCCACGUCCUCAUACUAUAGAUGAAACAACCACGUUGUCAUAUCACAAGUGAAUCCAUUCAUCGAUAGUGUGGUU